rnacentral:rRNA from 1 species
AUUGAACGCUGGCGGCAGGCCUAACACAUGCAAGUCGAGCGGAUGAAGGGAGCUUGCUCCUGGAUUCAGCGGCGGACGGGUGAGUAAUGCCUAGGAAUCUGCCUGGUAGUGGGGGAUAACGUCCGGAAACGGGCGCUAAUACCGCAUACGUCCUGAGGGAGAAAGUGGGGGAUCUUCGGACCUCACGCUAUCAGAUGAGCCUAGGUCGGAUUAGCUAGUUGGUGGGGUAAAGGCCUACCAAGGCGACGAUCCGUAACUGGUCUGGGAGGAUGAUCAGUCACACUGGAACUGAGACACGGUCCAGACUCCUACGGGAGGGCGCAGUGGGGAAUAUUGGACAAUGGGCGAAAGCCUGAUACAGCCAUGCCGCGUGUGUGAAGAAGGUCUUCGGAUUGUAAAGCACUUUAAGUUGGGAGGAAGGGCAGUAAGUUAAUACCUUGCUGUUUUGACGUUACCAACAGAAUAAGCACCGGCUAACUUCGUG